CAGGGGGAUAACACCUGGAAACAGGCGCUAAGACCGCAUAAGCGCACAGACCCGCAUGGGACAGUGUGAAAAACUCCGGUGGUACAAGAUGGAUCCGCGUCUGAUUAGCCAGUUGGCGGGGUAACGGCCCACCAAAGCGACGAUCAGUAGCCGGCCUGAGAGGGUGAACGGCCACAUUUGGACUGAGACACGGCCCAAACUCCUACGGGAGGCAGCAGUGGGGAAUAUUGCACAAUGGGGGAAACCCUGAUGCAGCAACGCCGCGUGAGUGAAGAAGUAAUUCGUUAUGUAAAGCUCUAUCAGCAGGGAAGAAAAUGACGGUACCUGAGUAAGCAGCCCCGGCUAACUACGUGCCAGCAGCCGCGGUAAUACGUAGGGGGCAAGCGUUAUCCGGAUUUACUGGGUGUAAAGGGAGCGUAGACGGUAAAGCAAGUCUGAAGUGAAAUGCCAGUGCUCAACACUGGAACUGCUUUGGAAACUGUUUGGCUGGAGUGCAGGAGAGGUAAGUGGAAUUCCUAGUGUAGCGGUGAAAUGCGUAGAUAUUAGGAGGAACACCAGUGGCGAAGGCGGCUUACUGGACUGUAACUGACGUUGAGGCUCGAAAGCGUGGGGAGCAAACAGGAUUAGAUACCCUGGUAGUCCACGCGGUAAACGAUGAUUACUAGGUGUCGGGGGGUUAUAACCCUUCGGUGCCGCCG
rnacentral:rRNA from 1 species